GCAUCAGAUCCCCUAAGUUACAGACAGUUGUGAGUCGCUUGACACGGGUGUUGGAAACCAAACUUGAGUCAUCUUGAAGAGCGGUAAACGGUCUCAAACACUGGUCUGUCUCUUCACUUCUUUCCAUUCUAUCUUAACUAAUACAUUCCUGUUUGCUGUGGGAUCGUGGUCCAUGGGUUGGACCGAGAAAAUUGGGAACUGGUGUACAAAGGAAAAGACACUUCCUGAUACUUCAAACCGUCUCUGCUCAUAAAUGAGGCCUGUGUGAGCAGCAUCGAAUCAAACUGCACUGGGAGCUGAGGUGAGCGCCAUUUUCAGCAUGGGAAAUGCAAAAUCAGAACACUCUGUCUCGAAGAUUCUGCUUGUUGCCUGUCCAUGACAGCUGGCUGUAGACUGGUUUGUGCGGGCGGCUCCUCAGGGACUGCCGUUCCUCACAGCCACUUGUUGAGGUUCACAUUCUCAUUUAUUUUUUCUCCCCCCGACCUAGUCUUUAAAGGCCACACUUGAGCAGGCAGCCCCCCGACUUCUCAGAAGUGGAAGUGAAGUAGAAAGUUCUUGCUUGGUACUUUUCUGAUCCCCAAGGGACUGAAAUGCGAACCCCUGAAGACGCUGAUGGCUUCAAGCUGAGAGGACCUUGUUGUGUUGAAUGAGGACAAAGAGCCAGUUAUAAAAAUGGCCUGUGCAGAAGGGUGUCACUGUGUCCCCAGAGGCAAGCCCUCAAAGUGACGUGUUCAUGGUCCCUCUGAGUAAUGAACGGAAGUAACCAAUGAAAUUCAAGCUGCUUUACUAACAUCAGACUAUUGAGUGCAGUCCAAGGGCCUUCCAAGCCAGGACUAUUUGGGGGAAAGGAAGAUUUAUCUAAGGAGCACCAAAUGUGCCAUGGAGUUUAUGUACAUUGUCCUACUGAGUCAUGUCAAAAACCCUAUGAGUGAUAAAAUAGUUCCUAAGUGAAGUCACACAAUUCCAGUCCAAACCACGAACCAGCUCUUCAGACGAGAUAAACCCCAGCUCCGCUGGGCCCCAGGGGACGGUUAACCUUGCCCUUGGCAUCCUUUCUUCCUCUCUCUGCCACAGAUGGGCAUCUCCCAGCUCUAGACUCCCUCCUCAGUGCUCUGAGGAGCUAGAUACGGCUUUCGGAAAUAGAGCAGUGGUGUGAGAUGUGGCUCCUGACGAGGCAGCCUGGCUGGGGUGAGCGGGAGGGCCCAGGCGUCUGCAUUUGGGUGGCAACCCAGCAAUACUCCUCUCCGGUCCUGAAGGAUUAAACCCCUUCUACAGAAGGAGUCUGGGAAGACUGGAUGGACUCUCUGGACGGGAGUCGGGAGGUAUCAGAUGGGAACCGAGGAGCAAGUACUCCAGAGGCUCCUGGGACCAUGACGGAGACUGACCUUCUGUUUGAGUCAGAGGAGAUGGCCCUGGAGACCAGGCAGGCAUUACAGGAGAUGGAAGUGACUCUAUCGGACAGUUCUGGCAAAAUGACUUUGGACAUAGAAAUGCAGGAGAGACAAAGUCUACGCUAAGACUUGAAGCCAUGUGCCUAUGAAGAGCCCUGGACGGUCAUCUCCUGCUGCCCUCUACUGGUCAUGUGUGGGUUCUUGCAUCCCGAGAACAGGUGAACAGGCCUUAUCUGCCAUACUCUUCUAUCACGAUGGACUGCUGCAGCACAGUUCCCAGACCAACAAGGCAAGGACUAUGAACUGAAGGGCUCUAUGAAACCAGGAGUCCCAAUCAAUCUUUCCUGUUUGAAGAUGAUUUUCUCAUACAGUGGCAGAAAGCUGAUUAAUAUACAUUGUGACUUUAUAAGGUACUGUCUCGUCAUCGUGAGUCAAGCAGUCAAACAGAAGACGGGUGUACCGCAGUCCCUGAUCUAGAGUUUGUUUUUUGUGACUUGUGUUACCUGCAGUUGACUGUAGUCCAGAGAUAUUAAAUGGUGUUACAGGACAGAGAGUCAAAUUGGACCUGACCUGAAAGCUUCCUCCCUAAUGGCUGGCUUUCACUUAAGGCUGCUGGAGGAGAAAAGUCAUCCGUGGUAUUAUCCAGCAACAAACUGCGAUUGCUGCAAUACUGACCUGCCAGGCAAGAUGUGUCCACUGGUGCAAUGGUGGCCUGUAGGUCAGAGGGGUAAGCAACCACUUUCUGAUGGGAAUCAAGGCGUGCACCACAGGAGGGAAUCCGUGCAUGAUACUGCAAAUCUGGGCCCAAGUCUAUGACUGUGGGUAUUAUAGACCCUAUGGGGGAACCUGCUACUGCUGUUUUGCUAAAUGGGCAUGUUGUCAAACUAUCUUCUAAAUAUUUAUGUUUAUAUUCAUAGGUCAGUGCUGCUCCCAAUCCUGGCUAGAGGAACUUCUUCUGCAACAGGCAGCAUUUACUUCUGUGGAGGCUCAUGAAUAGCGAAAGUGCUGAGCAUAAGUGUCUUUGGGAUGCUCGACCCUAAAUAGGACAUCUGUAUCCAUCCUUCUAAGACUCUAAUAUCAUAGAAGAGAGGGUGGAAAGAGUGCCAGAGCUGGAGGCUGGGAGGGGAUGCUGUGAGGUGCUGUCUUCUGGGCACUACAUGGUCAUUGUCCUCAUAAACUGACUGCACUUACGGUCACGUGCAUAAAGUCAAGCCAGCACCAUGCUAGCAGGCAGCACCAAUUGGAAUAGUGGGUUCGAAAACAUUAGAGAAGGAGAAAACAUGAAGGGAGAGAGAAGGGAUGUGCUGGGCUGCCUGGGGGUCGGAGUGGAAGGGGAGAGCUGGGGGUAGGUAUGGACAAUGUAUUUUUGGACAUAUGUAAAAAUAAAUAUGUUAAGAAUAGAUGAAAGAUGAAAAACAUAUCAAAUUUAAAAAUUAGAGACAAAUUCAUAAAUUUAGAAUAGACUUUGUUCUGAGUAGCAUAGUAAAAUCUUGUGUUGCCCUACCACCCAAGAGGGGAGUCACCCCUCUGUCCAGGGUAUCCCUGCUGUGUAUGCUCCCUGCCCACAUGUCAAACAGUAGCCAGCAUAGUUGUCAGAUCAACUGUCUCCGUAUCAAGGUGCAUACAUUUAAUUACCUCUUAUGCAUUGAUGCUAAUCCCUGCACUUAGGCAUUGAAGAAUCUCACAUCACUGGAAGAAGGGUGAAUACAAAAUAUAUUCAGGAAGUUGGGCUUGGUGUCUCACUCCUGUAAUUGCAAUACUCAGGAGGUUGAGGCGGGGGGGGGGAUCCUUCUGAGUUGAGGCUCUAGGGUGAAACCUUGUCACAGAAAGACAAGAACUGUUUAUUUUGUUUUGUUUCUGGAAACAAACUUUUAUUGAGGUGCAUUGUUACAAACUGUUCUAGCUUGUUAAUGUUUAUUUCUUCUGUGCUUAAUUA